CAUUUGUCUCACCCGUCUCC
rnacentral:siRNA from 1 species